UGGCUUGUGUAGAGGUCAGAAGACAACUUUGUGGAGUUGGUUCCCUCCUUCCACCUUUGCAUGGGUUUUUGAGAUCCAACUCAGGUCCCUAGGCUUUGUCAGCAAGUGCCUCUACCUGGAAAGCCAUUGGGAUGGGCCCUGGACCACUGUGCUGUCACUCCUAUGACAGUGAAACACAUGGGCUUCUGAAAUUGAGGUAUUUCAAUAAAUAAUGAUCUCAGUGAAGGAGAAAGAUAUAUUUAUAAAUCAGAAUCAUUGGACAAGAUUCUCAAACUGUUGAUGUGAGCCCCAAUUCUACUACUCUGUCUGUAGACAGGCACAUGAUGUACUCAAGAGAUGUAUUAACUUGGAUGAGUAGAAGGUAUAAAACAUGCUGUGUACUGUGAAAAUGUCUCUGUGAAGGAUCAGAUGUAAGUAGCUCAGGUUCUGUGGGCCGCAUGGUCUUUGCCAUCUACCUGCUAUCUACUAACUGUAGCAGGUAGAUGGCUGCAGCAGAAGAGCAGUAAGCACAAGGCCGUCUGCCUGUGGUCCAACAGCACUUGACUGGUAAAGGCUAUGGCUAGAUAAAGCCCAUGGCUUCUAGUUUGCCAGCCUCUGACCACACAUAACAUAGCUUAUAGAUAAAUUGA
rnacentral:lncRNA from 1 species